rnacentral:rRNA from 1 species
CAAAACUGAGGUGCCGAGGGAUGGGCUCGCGUUGGAUUAGAUAGUUGGUGGGGUAACGGCCUACCAAGUCAACGAUCCAUAGCCGGACUGAGAGGUUGAACGGCCACAUUGGGACUGAGACACGGCCCAGACUCCUACGGGAGGCAGCAGUGGGGAAUAUUGCACAAUGGGGGAAACCCUGAUGCAGCAACGCCGCGUGAAGGAAGACGGUUUUCGGAUUGUAAACUUCUGUUCUUAGUGAAGAAGAAUGACGGUAGCUAAGGAGCAAGCCACGGCUAACUACGUGCCAGCAGCCGCGGUAAUACGUAGGUGGCAAGCGUUGUCCGGAAUUACUGGGUGUAAAGGGAGCGCAGGCGGGAAGCCAAGUCAGCUGUGAAAACUACGGGCUUAACUUGUAGACUGCAGUUGAAACUGGUUUUCUUGAGUGAAGUAGAGGUUGGCGGAAUUCCGAGUGUAGCGGUGAAAUGCGUAGAUAUUCGGAGGAACACCGGUGGCGAAGGCGGCCAACUGGGCUUUAACUGACGCUGAGGCUCGAAAGUGUGGGGAGCAAACAGGAUUAGAUACCCUGGUAGUCCACACUGUAAACGAUGAUAACUAGGUGUGGGGGGUCUGACCCCUUCC